rnacentral:rRNA from 1 species
GAUGAACGCUAGCUACAGGCUUAACACAUGCAAGUCGAGGGGCAGCAUGGUCUUAGCUUGCUAAGGCCGAUGGCGACCGGCGCACGGGUGAGUAACACGUAUCCAACCUGCCGUCUACUCUUGGACAGCCUUCUGAAAGGAAGAUUAAUACAAGAUGGCAUCAUGAGUCCGCAUGUUCACAUGAUUAAAGGUAUUCCGGUAGACGAUGGGGAUGCGUUCCAUUAGAUAGUAGGCGGGGUAACGGCCCACCUAGUCUUCGAUGGAUAGGGGUUCUGAGAGGAAGGUACCCCACAUUGGAACUGAGACACGGUCCAAACUCCUACGGGAGGCAGCAGUGAGGAAUAUUGGUCAAUGGGCGCAGGCCUGAACCAGCAAAGUAGCGUGAAGGAUGACUGCCCUAUGGGUUGUAAACUUCUUUUAUAAAGGAAUAAAGUCGGGUAUGUAUACCCGUUUGCAUGUACUUUAUGAAUAAGGAUCGGCUAACUCCGUG